GCCAUAGAAAAAAAGAAUAAGAAGAAUCCGAUCAAGUAUCCACAAAGUUGUUCACUCUGCACAUUCAAGAACCUCUUUAUUACAACAGCCAACCGCUCCUCCUAAUGCUUUGAUGAUUACAGGAACAUCUCUUUCUCUCUCAAUGAGAACUAGCACAUCUGUUUCUGAGAUUGAGAGAGAAGAUGAAGGCAAACACAUGAGCCAACUCCACGACAAUCGCCACCUUCACUUGGCCUCGCCUUGGGAUCAGACGGCUCGAAACCCUCUGCGACAGACGUCCGCCAUUGAUCUUGCCGCUCCUCGAAACUGCCAUCUCCCUCUUUCUUCUUCUUUGUCUUCUUCUUCUUCUUGGUGCUUAAU
rnacentral:lncRNA from 1 species